CCUACGGGAGGCAGCAGUGAGGAAUAUUGGUCAAUGGCCGCAGGGCUGAACCAGCCAAGUCGCGUGAGGGAUGACGGUCCUAUGGAUUGUAAACCUCUUUUGUCAGGGAGCAAAGGGCGCCACGUGUGGCGUUUUGCGAGUACCUGAAGAAAAAGCAUCGGCUAACUCCGUGCCAGCAGCCGCGGUAAUACGGAGGAUGCGAGCGUUAUCCGGAUUUAUUGGGUUUAAAGGGUGCGCAGGCGGAAUGUCAAGUCAGCGGUAAAAUUUCGGGGCUCAACCCCGUCGUGCCGUUGAAACUGGCGGUCUUGAGUGAGCUAGAAGUAGGUGGAAUGCGUGGUGUAGCGGUGAAAUGCAUAGAUAUCACGCAGAACUCCGAUUGCGAAGGCAGCAUACCGGCGCUCAACUGACGCUCAUGCACGAAAGCGUGGGUAUCGAACAGGAUUAGAUACCCCGGUAGUC
rnacentral:rRNA from 1 species